rnacentral:tRNA from 1 species
GGGCCCGUGGUCUAGUGGCUACGUGUUCACUGCCGGUUUCGGCACGGGGCGCGCCGCGCAUGACGUCUCCUUUACACGGAGAGGGUCACCGGUUCGAGUCCGGUCGGGCCCA